AUCUUUCUAAUAUCAGUUAGAUCAUGAAGAACAAACUACAAGAAAGGGGCAUAGCUGACACCUAUGAAGGAAUUUUUUCACACGCUUGAGUCUGAUACAGCAACGUACUGCGGUCGAAGCCUAUUCAUGAUGGACUUUGGAGAAAAAGACAAGAUGACCAGUAUACACAUCAGAAGGACAAUGAUGAAACUCUGUCUGUUAUAUGAAGAAAAUCUGUUAUUCCGAACAGCUUUGUCUCUUGCUGUUGUUCUCACUCAGUCUGAUGUUUGGAGCACCUUCACUCUUGGAGACGCAGUUGAUUUGGAAUGCUUCAUCACUGUGGAUGACAGGACAAGCCCCAGAUGUUAUCUCUGUAUUCUCACUGCAAUUGUCUUUGGAGAGUUUGACUAAAAGCUUUGCUUUGCUACAAGGAAGAGUGGCACCAGAUUUGUGCUGACCAUCUCAGAUUCCACGGCAUCCAACAUGGGGAUGUAUUACUGUGCUGCAAUUGAUUAUGAAAGCAUGAUCUUCGGGAGUUGUGUUUUUUUGAUACAUUCAGGUGUUUUAUCUUCUAUUUUAGCAAAUAUAUGUUGUAUUUGGAAAUUGUGCAAGUCAUUGAUAGUAAUGUGAUUUUAUAGUCCUGGAAAAGCUGCAGAUUCCAGGACCCAGCAUGUUGAACAGUAGUCUGUGUCUGAGUCAGUCUAGCCAGAAGAGUCUGAACUGUAAAAUACACACAGACCUGUGCAGGAGAACACAGUGUCUAUUGGUUCAGACAUGGCUCAGGAGAAUCUUGUCCAGGAAUCAUUUACACCCAUGGAGACAGGAGUGAUCAGCGUGAGAAGAGCCCCGA